AGUGAACGCUGGCGGCGUGCUUAAUACAUGCAAGUCGAACGAUGAAGUCCUAGCUUGCUAGGAUGGAUUAGUGGCGCACGGGUGAGUAAUAUAUAGUUAAUCUGCCUUGCACUGAGGAACAACAGUUGGAAACGAUUGCUAAUACCUCAUACUCCAACUUUACAUAUGUUAAGUUGGGAAAGUCUUUUCGGUGCAAGAUGAGACUAUAUCGUAUCCGCUAGUUGGUAAGGUAAUGGCUUACCAAGGCUAUGACGCGUAACUGGUCUGAGAGGAUGAUCAGACACAUUGGAACUGAGACACGGUCCAAACUCCUACGGGAGGCAGCAGUAAGGAAUAUUGUGCAAUGGAGGAAACCCUGACGCAGCAACGCCGCGUGGAGGAUGACACUUUUCGGAACGUAAACUCCUUUUGUUAGGGAAGAAUAAUGACGGUACCUAACGAAUAAGCACCGGCUAACUCCGUG
rnacentral:rRNA from 1 species